UACGUAGGGUGCGAGCGUUGUCCGGAAUUAUUGGGCGUAAAGGGCUCGUAGGCGGUUUGUCGCGUCGGGAGUGAAAACUCAGGGCUUAACCCUGAGCCUGCUUCCGAUACGGGCAGACUAGAGGUAUGCAGGGGAGAACGGAAUUCCUGGUGUAGCGGUGGAAUGCGCAGAUAUCAGGAGGAACACCGGUGGCGAAGGCGGUUCUCUGGAACGCAACUGACGCUGAGACGCGAAAGCGUGGGGAGCAAACAGG
rnacentral:rRNA from 1 species